rnacentral:rRNA from 1 species
GAUGAACGCUGGCGGCGUGCCUAACACAUGCAAGUCGAGCGAUUCUCUUCGGAGAAGAGCGGCGGACGGGUGAGUAACGCGUGGGUAACCUGCCCUGUACACACGGAUAACAUACCGAAAGGUAUGAUAAUACGAGAUAAUAUACUUUUAUCGCAUGGUAGAAGUAUCAAAGCUCCGGCGGUACAGGAUGGACCCGCGUCUGAUUAGCUAGUUGGUAAGGUAACGGCUUACCAAGGCGACGAUCAGUAGCCGACCUGAGAGGGUGAUCGGCCACAUUGGAACUGAGACACGGUCCAAACUCCUACGGGAGGCAGCAGUGGGGAAUAUUGCACAAUGGGCGAAAGCCUGAUGAUGCAACGCCGCGUGAGCGAUGAAGGCCUUCGGGUCGUAAAGCUCUGUCCUCAAGGAAGAUAAUGACGGUACUUGAGGAGGAAGCCCCGGCUAACUACGUGCCAGCCGCCGCGGUAA